rnacentral:lncRNA from 10 species
CAAGGAGGCGGCUUUGGUUGUGAUUUCAAGAUGGCUAAGUUAAAGGGUUUCCUUGUUGCCUUAAAAACACACACACACAGUAUAAUACAACUGGAACGAACAGACUGCACUGUUCAUUUUUUUUCAGACUCUAAAAGACACUUAAUGCAGACAAGAAGGGAAUGAAGGAGGAAGUGACGAGAGGAAGAUGAACAAAGCUAAAUGCCUUCAGCAGGGAGAGGAAACAAAAACUGAGAUUCACCUCAUAACUGAUGGAUUACUACAAGUACAAUUACUGGAUUAAGGGCAUGACUUCUGAAGCUUUCCAGGAAAGUUGUACCAGUUUACAUUACUGAGCCUUUAUGAGUACUGAAAAACAAAACAAAAAAAAGUUCCCUCUUUGACCAUGUUUCCUCCGAAAAAUGGAAAUAAAACCAACUCAGCAUUAUGAGGCUCAAAUGAGAUUUGUUGGUAAUUUGAAAAUAAUGGAGCAUGGUACAAAAGAUAGCUGCUGUUAUCAUUUUUAAACAAAAAACGCAUGCAUUUUAUACUAAUGUCAAUGAAAGCUACUAGAUUAAGGUCUAUCCACUAUAGUCUAAUGUCAUGUUAUUGCCUCUCUCUCUCCAUAUUUCUUUGAGAUGCUCUUUACAAAUUAGGAAACUACUGGUGCUUUUAUCUGCUGCCAAGGGACUCAAAAAAG